AGGCAUUUUUCUUGACCUUUAAGUUCAGCCUAGGGUGCUCAUCAAACGUCAUACUACAAGGAUGCAUAUUAAGAGAGGGUGGACUCCCCAUUCUUCACUCAGCAACCAGAGUUGCUGAAAGGCAGGUCUUACUGAUGCUCCGAGAGCUGAAAAUGUGAGAAGGUGAUGAAACGGACCAGAGUACUCCCUGCCAGCGGGACACAGGGCUUUCCAAGCUACAACAGUGAGAAGACCCUCAGCAAACCAGGAGGAGGCUUGUCACCCAACACGGAAUCUGCUGGCU